CUUUAGUUUAGUAUCCAGUUAUAACACAUGACUUUAGUUUAGUAUCCAGUUAUAACACAUGACUUUAGUUUAGUAUCCAGUUAUAACACAUGAAUUGAGUUUAGUAUCCAGUUAUAACACAUGACUUUAGUUUAGUAUCCAGUUAUAACACAUGACUUUAGUUUAGUAUCCAGUUAUAACACAUGACUUUAGUUUAGUAUCCAGUUAUAACACAUGACUUGAGUUUAGUAUCCAGUUAUAACACAUGACUUGAGUUUAGUAUCCAGUUAUAACACAUGACUUUAGUUUAGUAUCCAGUUAUUACACAUGACUUUAGUUUAGUAUCCAGUUAUAACACAUGACUUUAGUUUAGUAUCCAGUUAUUACACAUGAAUUGAGUUUAGCAACAAAAGCACAUGUAUAGAACAUGUAUGGACAUGUGUUUCAGGGACUUCAGGAGAACAACACAACAGACAACAGACAACGGUUCUGCAGGUAGUGGAGAACAACACAACAGACAACACAGACAACGGUUCUGUAGGUAGUGGAGAACAACACAACAGACAACACAGACGGUUCUGCAGGUAGUGGAGAACAACACAACAGACAACACAGACAACGGUUCUGUAGGUAGUGGAGAACAACACAACAGACAACACAGACAACGGUUCUGCAGGUAGUGGAGAACAACACAACAGACAACACAGACAACGGUUCUGUAGGUAGUGGAGAACAACACAACAGACAACACAGACAACGGUUCUGUAGGUAGUGGAGAACAACACAACAGACAACACAGACAACGGUUCUGUAGGUAGUGGAGAACAACACAACAGACAACACAGACAACGGUUCUGCAGGUACGACAUAUGAGUAGACAGUUUAAUAGAUCCUGUAUAUGCAAGCAUCAUAGCAUACCAGUGAUGAUACGGAAGGCAGUGGCAGGAAGAUCAGGUUAGAAACCUGCCCAGAUAAAUGGACUGAUUUGGUGUUCCUGUCUCCACUUGUCUCUUUAGUCUCUGCUAUUCCGAAAUGUCUGCAUGCUUUUCCAGCACUUUUUCAUGUCAACAUAGUUUAACACCAGAUUGCUGACUAACACCAAAAUGGUUAGUAUGGACAUAUUAGUCCUUGUGUGUAUCCUGUGGUCUGGGAAUUGGAGGGGUUAACACUUCCUGCCAAGCCACAUAUUUAAACUCUAUUCUUCAGUAGGUGCUACUCGAGAGCGGCGAGACUCAGAGCAAACAACUAGUAUUGUAAAGGGAUAAUCCCUAUGGAACACCUGCCAACAUCAUCUGUGUGCUUACAGUUGCUCAUAUUCCCUCUUUUUCUAAACGUGUUGGGAGAAUGACUCUUCAGUCACCGAUAUGUCACCGAUAUGACAUCACACUCUCCCUGGCGGCAGGGUAGCCUAGUGGUUAGAGCGUUGGACUAGUAACCGGAAGGUGGGUUCUGAUAUGCUAAAGAGAAGACCUGGCAACAUUCUCUAGUGGUUCUGAUAUGCUAAAGAGAACACCUGGCAACAUUCUCUAGUGGUUCUGAUAUGCUAAAGAGAACACCUGGCAACAUUCUCUAGUGGUUCUGAUAUGCUAAAGAGAACACC
ensembl:lncRNA